GGUCCACCAGGAAAGGAGAGUGAUACCUGCUGACUGCCUUGGUGCUGCAGAGGAGACGGGGGUAAACGUGAAGUACAGAAGGCAAGGCAAAGAAUGGACUGAAGUGAAGAAUUAAACUACUGUAUUUUAGCAUAUAAGAGGAGUGUAGCAUACUAAAAAGAAAUUAAUUUAAAACCACUAUUACACAAGUGCUGAUAACUUCUGGACACCAGGUAUGUUUUCUGUGCCCCCUUAAAACAAAGAGACAACUUGUUGCAUAUCUACUUGGGUUAUGACCAGUGUCAAUAUAAAAUUAUUACUUGGUAGUCAGUAUAAUCUUUUAAUAAUAUAAGUUUACUUAUGGUAGAAUGCUGUAUGUAAUCAUUUGUGUUUAGAAGUAAGUAGUUGAUGGCAUAUUGAAAGAAUGUCUCAUCAUACGAGGUUUGUGUGCAUUCCAGAGUGUUCUGGCAUUCACCCCCCACAUCCUAGGAGCAUGGGAAAGGUUGUACCUUCUUUUAUUGUUUUACAGUAGGAUAAACGUAGCUAUGUCAGUUUUAGUCUAAGUGCCUUUUUUACAUAUAGAUGAACUGUUGGAUUUUCCAGACCAGCAGGUUUAGGGAAGUCGUUUAUGGGGUCACACUCGGACACACACACACACACACCUAAACAUCUACAUUCCAAUGUAAGGAACAAACACCCACUGAUGUAUAAAUAAAGACCAGGGCAGUCUCAGAGUGCGUGUCACAGAGCCCUCACUCUCACUGCGGGUGCUCUGUGCUGCCCUUGCUGCAAGUAAAUCUGUGUUUCUCCUCUCUGAUUCUCAACUGAAGAAGUGUUUUAGAAUACAUCUCUUGACAUUUGUUUUGGUCCUUCGCAGCCGGAACGGAAACAUCAGAACUGUUAUCUGUGACUCUGUUCCAGGAUCUGGCGGACUGAGUCCUGACGCCGUGGGAAGCCAGCACCGAAGUCUGUGCACAGCCCUUUUAAGAAUUCGGGUCCGGACCGGUGUUCUUAGUCUGGUCCACGGCGGUGGGAUUCAGUCAGACGAUCCGAACCACCACUGAGACGUCUGAGGGGGCUACAGGAGAAAAGCAGGCCUCUGGCUAAUUCUGGAAUAUUUACAGUGCAACAGAUGAAGGAAUCCAAAAGCUGAACAUGAAACAAGACAUCAAGCUCAGAAACAAAGUGUCUUUUUCAUCAUUGGAAACACACACACACACACACACACACACACACACACACAGAAGAUGAAACCUUCUGACAUUUCAAAAAAUGGGUCAGAUGGGAAAUGAGACUGUGUCAAACAAUCAGGUAAGCGCCACAGAGGAGACUGCUCCCUGCUGUUAAUCAAGUGUGCCAUAAAAAGAGAGAGAGAAACAGAGAAAAUGUCAGUGAAAGAAAGAAGAAGAAAAUCUUCUUGCCUUUCAUUUCUAUGCAAACCAACGAGAGGAAUUAUUUCACAAAUGAUGUUCCCCUGCUGUUAGGGCUGGAGGAUUAUUGCAAAAAUUAUGAUCCGAGUUGUCUUGUUCAAUAUAAAGAUGAUUAUUUAACAAUGCUAAUUUUUAAACUAUCAUCUUUUUUAUUAAAUCCGCCUGUUCUCGUAUCCUACAGGAUUCAAAAACAAUAUCACAAAAAUUGUGAUAAAAUAUAAUAAACAUUAUCCAAGUUAGUGCUGGGCGAUAUGGAAAAAAUAUUUAUCACGAUAUGAAUUAUUUUAUAUCACGAUAACGAUAUAUAUCACGAUAUACCACCU